rnacentral:lncRNA from 1 species
CGGGAAGCGCGUCGGGAUGCGGAACGGCUGCGGAUAGUGACCCUCGAAGUAUGCGCCCUUCGACUGGAUCAAGCGAUUCGGCUGAUGAGGGAUCGAAUCAGCCGGGUCCGAAAGCUCUUUUCACUCUUCGGUUCGGCUGGAUAAGCCGAAUAUGUGGGAAAAGUCGAAAAUUAAGCCGGGAGAUGAGCCGAAUGGCUAGCACAA